rnacentral:rRNA from 1 species
UAGCGAACUAGUACCGUGAGGGAAAGGUGAAAAGCACCCCGAUGAGGGGAGUGAAACAGUACCUGAAACGGAUUGCCUACAAGCAGUUGGAGGGGUCUUGUGCCCUGACAGCGUACCUCUUGCAUAAUGGGUCUGUGACUUAAUGUAUCAAGCAAGCUUAAGCCGAUAGGUGUAGGCGCAGCGAAAGCGAGUCUGAAUAGGGCGACUGAGUUUGAUGCAU